UGCCAGCAGCCGCGGUAAUACUGAAGGUGCAAGCGUUAAUCGGAAUCACUGGGCGUAAAGCGCUCGUAGGUGGCUUUGUAAGUCAGAUGUGAAAGCCCACGGCUCAACCGUGGAAUUGCAUUUGAUACUGCAUCGCUAGAGUAUAGGAGAGGGAAGUGGAAUUUCUGGUGCAGGAGUGAAAUCCGUAGAGAUCAGAAGGAACACCGGUGGCGAAGGCGACUUCCUGGACUAUUACUGACACUGAGGAGCGAAAGCGUCAGUACUCGUCCAGUUGGCCG
rnacentral:rRNA from 1 species